rnacentral:rRNA from 1 species
GACGAACGCUGGCGGCGUGCUUAACACAUGCAAGUCGAACGGAAAGGCCCUGCUUUUGUGGGGUGCUCGAGUGGCGAACGGGUGAGUAACACGUGAGUAACCUGCCCUUGACUUUGGGAUAACUUCAGGAAACUGGGGCUAAUACCGGAUAGGAGCUCCUGCUGCAUGGUGGGGGUUGGAAAGUUUCGGCGGUUGGGGAUGGACUGGCGGCUUAUCAGCUUGUUGGUGGGGUAGUGGCUUACCAAGGCUUUGACGGGUAGCCGGCCUGAGAGGGUGACCGGCCACAUGGGGACUGAGGUACGGCGCAGUCUGCUACGGGAGGCAGCGGUGGGAAGUAUUGCACAGCGGGCGGGAGCGUGAUACAGAAGCGCCGCGUGCGGAAUGACGGCCUUCGGGUUGUGAACCGCUUUCGCCUGUGACGAAGCGUGAGUGACGGUAAUGGAUAAAGAAGCACCGGCUAACUACGUG